CUUUAGCCCCGAUGGAAGCGAUAUCCUUUUAUUCUGGGGUUCAGAAUAAAAGAUAUAGCGCACAGCGGGAACGUUG
rnacentral:sRNA from 1 species